UGGUAAACGAUCUUUUGCUUCAC
rnacentral:siRNA from 1 species